CAUGUAGGCGGAUUAAUAAGUUUGAAGUGAAAUCCUAUAGCUUAACUAUAGAACUGCUUUGAAAGCUGUUAAUCUAGAAUGUGGGAGAGGUAGAUGGAAUUUCUGGUGUAGGGUAAAAUCCGUAGAGAUCAGAAGGAAUACCGAUUGCGAAGGCGAUCUACUGGAACAUUAUUGACGCUGAGAUGCGAAAGCGUGGGGAGCAAACA
rnacentral:rRNA from 1 species